rnacentral:other from 1 species
AUCUUGCUGUGGUAUACGAAUUCACAUCUAAGUGUUGACCGACUAAUUUUUGUAUUUUUCGGGAGACAAAGGUUCUCUGACAGUGUGCAAGCUGGCUCACCCAGAAGCGACUGAAGUUAGAGACGCGUCGCCCACCUGCUUUAUACGUCGCGGGUUCAAUACAAAACGUGAAUUAUCGGUACCAAUACAGCUCUUUC